CAGCUAUAAUCAAAAGUACAUAGUGUACUUUGUCUUUGACUAACAUAAAUAGUUGUCAGGAUGGACUCCAAUAGAGCUCUCCAUGUUAUUUUGACUCCAGCACAAUGGAAGUAAUUCCUUAUUAUGGCGAGUUGAGACAAAUUAUCUAAAAUUAUAGGGUCGUUGGAUUUCUCUACAAAUAGCAACCAAACACCCUCACAUGUUGCUGUCGAGUGGCACCAAGAGCUCCAGCUGUUAUAAGAGAUCAUUUCUUGACUCUGUCCCAUGGAACUAAAUUGCUUCUUUUCCUGCUUCACUUCAUUAGAUCACACUCGGACCGUGCGUGCCGCCGCCGGGUACCGGAGCGGGGCCGGACGGAUCAGCGUGGGCUGAAUGCCCUCUACCGGGGGAACCCGGAGGUUACCCACAGCCGCACCAUCGGAGGGGGCCGUGGGAAUAAAAUCAACGGUGCUCUUCGGAGCUCUGAUGCUUCUGAGAGGGAAGGGGGAAAGCGUGCCUGGCUCUUCUUCAUCCUUGGUAAUUAAACGAACAAGGAAAAAGAGACAGAUUAAUUGAUUGAACUGGUUCCAGGAGAAACCAUUAGUCCUGUUCCUCUUCUGCUCUAUAUGGUGUUUAAACAACUCUGAAAUGGAGCCCGGUGAAUCCUGCCAACAUAUUUCUCCUGGAUAACUGUUCACCUCAAGAAUGUGCUGCAGAUCCUCUGCCCUCCCAGGAAGACCUACAUGUUUGGAGAAAGCACUGUGAUUUGAAAUCUGUGAGGAAGACCACAAAAGGCAGAUGAGGAUGGUAAAGAAAUAAUUGAAGGAAGAAGAGUUUCUUGCCAUUCUUUCACCCAAGAUGCAGCUGUGUAUACACAUAAUAUAUACUAAAAUCUCAGUUUUAAGAAAUAUCAAGCUUCCUUUACUAAUGAUGUAGAAAAUGAGAUUUAAAAAGCGAGUAUUUUACAGCAUGUGAAUGUCUUAUAUAGUUGUCUAUAAAAUGUGACCAGAGAGUUACACAAACUUAGUAUGGGUCUGAGCUGAAGGGAAGAAAACAUGGUUUAAGUCUGGGAUGUGCUAAUGUGAAUGUAAGUCACAAGAGGUGUUAUUUUACUAUCUAAGAAAUGAUUUUUUUUGCAGUGUCAUCCCAGACACACCUGUUUGAGAAUGACAUAGCCAAAGAGAAGAAAGCCCAAGAGGAGAGUCCUGUGGUCAGUCCAUAACCAUCCAUCUCUGACACCCCUCCAUGUCUACUCUCAGCCCCCCCUCCACAUGGGUCCCUCCCACACCAUCCUUCCUGACUCCCAGUGGGCUUCCCACAGCCUGCAGCUCUCCCAGAACAACCCCAACAUGGCUCCAUGCCAUGGGGCACUGCUGGGCUCUGCUCACUAGAGGAUUCUCCUGCAGCUCCUCUGCUAUCAGAACCUCACCAUGUAAGAGCAAUACACCUUGGCACACUCCUGGGCCUGGCCAUGGCAUUGGAGCUAUGUGAUGAAGCAAUCAGUUCUCUUAAGUGCUUAUUCACUAGCAAACCCAUGAAGUCUCUGGUGACACCCAACAGUCAGGUUUCUUUAAUUAAACAUUUUGAAGGUUUCUGAUUUGUAGCAAAUACGUGUUUAUUAAUAUCUUUUCGUAUUUAUCUCCAUAAGAAGAUUGAAAAGAAGUAUUUUACUUGUUUUGUUUUUUCUUCUCUGAAGAAAAAUAAACAUAGAAGAUGUGUCUGUCUCCCUCUCCCCAAAUAAAUAAGUCUCUGUAUUUUUCACUGAAGGCCACCAUUGCCUGACCACCCAGCCCCACUGAUUGGCCUCAAGUGGGAAGGCAUCAUGGUAGCUGGCACUGUGUGGCAGGUGAGCAGAGAAGGUGUGGGUGCUCCAUUCCUGGAGGCAUUCAAGCCCAGGCUGGAUGGGCUGCCCUAAGCAGCCUGAGCUGGUAGAGGACAGCCAUGCCCAUGGCAGGGGGUUGGAACUGGGUGGGCUUUGGUAUCCCUCCCAGCUCUAGCCAUUCUAUGAUUCUAUGAAUUAAAAAGUGCAUUUUGGAAGUAGCUGGUAGCUUUGUGACUAUCUGCGUACAUGAGAGCUAAUAAAAUUAUUGUCACUCAGCAGCACUUGAUUGCAACCUAAUGGCUAGAACAGUUUUUCAGCCAAGAAGCAGGGAAAAAUGCCUCCUGGCAGAGCACAACUACAUACAUGGGGAAAAUAGUUGUUAUUUCAGGUGCUUAGGUUCCCAGUAGAAAAUAAGUUUAAUUAAUUUAUUUAUUUUUCUAAUUUGUGAAAAUAUGCCUACAGUGACCUCUAGGAACACGUGCAAAAGCCAUAAAACCAGAUUCAUUCAUUAACCAUCUGACACAAUGUCAAUCGUAGAUAGUCAAAUAAACAACUAACACGUGAGGAAAACUCAAACUCCUCCCUUCCAACUCUCCAUAGGAAAAAGCCUUAGAGAGUGAACACGCUUGGCAGCGUGCCUUGGGCUCCUCACUCAGUGCCUUUUUUGGGUGACAGAGAGAAUGGAGUCUGAACCGCAGCGAUGAACACUCUCAUUGCUGUUUUAUAUUCAUGCCUUUCAAUUAAAAUCCAUAAAUGUUUAUACUUUUUUCCAUUUUUUUUUCUUUUUAAUGUGUUACAUGGGAAAUAGGAAUGAGUUACAAAAAUGAAUAUGUAAAGCGUUUUCAUCUCUGCGAUGGGCAGAGAGCUGCAAAUUAGGGUUUCUGGCUCCUCCUCCAACCUCUGCCACUCUUCUGCUCUCUGAUCCUGGGGCAGCUACUCAUCCAGUGUGGUUGGAUGUGCAAAAUUCACUACACUGGGCUUGCCAGCUCCUUGUAACUCAGCCUACUGCUCUUUUGCUAAUCUUUGAAAUUCUCUUCUUGCUGUAGGAUGCUUUUAACAGUGAAACUAUUUGAGGAAAAGUCAGGUCCACUUCAGUAAUGGAAUGAAAAAAGUAAUGGAAGGAGCCCAGGCUCUCCUUGAAGCAGCAGGGAGUAUCAGCCUCCCAUGGCCAAGUGACAGCAGCACUGAGAUCUUGGUGCUUCACACCUUUUCCAACACUUCCAUGUGAUUGCAGUGACUUUGCCCUUGCCGGUGCCUUCAGUCCCUGAAGGAAGUACCUAUCUGAACCUGAAGUGCUGUCUUUGCUGUGAUGCCACCAGCAACUACAGUUUUCCUCCUGCAAAAACCUCCUUAUGCAUUAUGAAACAAUAUGUGUUAUGUUUUGCUUUAUAAAUAAUCAGUUUUUGCAAACUUAUAUAUCAUCUGUGUGACAAACACUUUGUUCCAUGGUAAUGAAUACAAGUCUGUGUCCAAACAUCACGUUUAAACACCAAAAAAAAAAAAAAAAAAAAAAAAAAAAUCCUUUGAGGCUACAUCUUCAUGUUCAACAGAUGAGGUUCUGUUCAACCUGGAGCUCUGUGACUGUGAUGAACACAGAACAGCACAGGAGUAAAUCUUCCCUCUACUUUGCCCCCCCCCCCCCCCGGGACAAUGUUUUCUAGAAAAGAUCAGACGGUGUUUUAAUGCCUGGGGAAAAACAGAACGUGACCCACAGUAUAUUUAGGCAGUUCCAUUUCUGCUUGCUAUUUUUAAAAGCAUAUGCGUUAUUUAAAAAUAAUUAGCUUGAGCCCAUUUAUGUACAAUGUAUAUAUUGCACAUAUGUCUAUACAGAACAAGAAACAAUGUAAUCACAACCUUACUACACUAAAGGUCUUGGCAUAAGAAACACAGACAGUGAAAGCCAAAGAGAUUUUACCUGUCAUAUGUAUUUCCCUCAUUUAAAUAUAUUAAAACAGAAC
rnacentral:lncRNA from 1 species